rnacentral:lncRNA from 1 species
CCCCUUAUGUAUUUCAAAUCAGUAUUUCUCCACAACCAUACAAGUGAUUGACCUCCGGUCUUCCGUUUUGUGUUCACUGACCUAUGACCUUGAAAUUGAGAUCAAGGUCGAAGGUCAAGGUCAUGUUAUAAAUUUUGAAUUUUGCUUGUUAUCGUUAUUCAAAAGAAACUGUUACAGUAAAUGAUAUGAUUUGUUUGCCAAAUUGCUGUUUACAAAAAGGCGCAACUUCAAUCUAUUUCCGUCGAAGUGUUUUGGUUAACCCUUAUAGGAGUUUUCUCCCCUUAUGUAUUUGAAACCAGUAUUUCUCCACAACCAUACAAAUGAUUGACCUGCGGUCUUUUGAUUUGAGAUCCCUAACCUAUGACCUUGAAAUUGAGGUCAAGGUCAAAGGUCAAUUUGACAUUCUAGAUUUUGACCUUUGCUAAAAAUUAUUUUGAAGUCUUCUGCAUAUAUACCUAUUAGUCUUAUUUUUUAUAUCAAUUUGAAGAACCAAAUAACAUCAACAAGGAGUGACAUUUUU